rnacentral:rRNA from 1 species
CCUACGGGAGGCUGCAGUGAGGAAUAUUGGUCAAUGGACGAGAGUCUGAACCAGCCAAGUAGCGUGAAGGAUGACUGCCCUAUGGGUGGUAAGCUUCUUUUAUAAAGGAAUAAAACGAUACACGUGUGCCUUUUUGCAUGUACUUUAUGAAUAAGGAUCGGCUAACUCCGUUCCAGCCGCCCCGGUAAGACGGAGGAUCCGAGCGUUAUCCGGAUUUAUUGGGUGUAAAGGGAGCGUAGAUGGGGUGGUAAGUCAGUUGUGAAAGUUUGCGGCUCAACCGUAAAAUUGCAAUUGAUACUGGCAGUCUUGAGUACAGUUGAGGUUGGCGGAAUUCGUGGUGUAGCGGUGAAAUGCUUAGAUAUCACGAAGAACACCGAUUGCGAAGGCAGCAUACUAAACUGUGACUGACAUUGAUGUUCGAAAGUGUGGGUAUCAAACAGGAUUAGAUACCCUAGUAGUC